GCCUGCAAAGAUGGCUCGGUUGGUUUCCACUGAUUACUUUCCCAAUUUAUCCUUGGUUUAGAACAGAAUCAUGAGGGUGAAUUGCAUCACCUGUUUCACUUUUCAGCAAAAGGAUAUACAGUCCCUUGAACCACAUCAUACAACAAGUAAUCAUUGUCUUGUAGGAUUUCGAUUUCAAAGGCCUUUGACCUUUCAGCACUUGUUU
rnacentral:lncRNA from 1 species